ACGGCUGAGGCUCAGGCCAUUGGCACGGGGAAACCAACCCUCCUCCCCACGUCGGGACCCUAACCACAACUGGGGGAGGGGAUAUAUCUCUGAAGCCGGCUCCCCACGCCGCCGCCACGCCAGAGGCCAUCGGGGCGAUGGCGCAAGACUCCGCUCCGCCCCCCCACAGCCACAACAGCCACGGUGACAAAAUGGCAGCUCGGCGCCCGGCAGUCGUGCCAAAGGCGCGCAAGGCCUUGGCUGCCGCCCCCGCUCCCCAAUAAUGCCUCGGCGACCCUCUGCUCGGUGGACCUGGAGGUUAAAAAUAAUCAAAACACCUUUAGCUCGAAAUCACCUCGGCAAGUCAAAAGGCCAUUUCGGGACCGAGCCCCGCGCAUCCGCUCCCUAGCCCGCGCGAACGGCGUUCUGGCCCUGGCCGGCCCGCGCCCCGCAUGGAGCCCGGCGCCCGCACUCUGAGCCCCGCGCUCCGCGCCGGCAGCGCCAUGGGGGAGGGGCGGGGCGGGCCGCAAGAGACCCGGGGAAACAUGGCUGCUCGUCCUAUUUCGGCAUCGCGGCGUGGCCACCAACCCCCGGAACCGAGUUGGGAGAGGCUCCGAAGAGGCUCCCGCGCCGGCGGAAUUCAAUCAAUAAACCCCGAACCCACGGCCGCGCGUUUUAGGACUUUGAAGGCUCAACCAGCUCCGCUCGGUUCUCGAGCCCCCAGCACCCGCCGCGCACACUAACCUGAUCACGGAGGAGGCGGGAUCUGCGGCCCUCGGGACGAGCGGCAGCAGGCAACAGAAAUGUACCUUGAUCAACACAAGAAAACAAUUUCUUGUAAGGCUAUCACAGAACCAAAGAAGAAUGAGGUCCAGGAAAUGAACAGGAAAUGGGGAAGCUGGGCUGCCUGGAACACAGCCAAGGUGAUGCUUCAGAUGAUUUAAUGCAAAUUGUUGGAGGCUGCUAAUUGCUCAACAAAAUUCAUUUCUUCUUCCUGAACACAAAGCUUGACAAUGCUUCCGAGCUGCUCUUGCAGUUUGAUGGGACCACGUGAAUGAGGUCUAACCAGUGGAAUGUGAAUGGAAGUGAUGUUGGCCACUUCAAGGCCUGAAAUCUCCAAUGCUGCUAAGAUGGAGGUGACACAGUGACCUGAGAAGCCAUGUGGUCAUGAAGGUAGAACCUCCCUCAGCCUGGGUCCCUAGAAAGAGCUGUUCCAUCAACACGUUCACCUGUCCAUUAAGAAAUAAACUGUGACCAAGAUAGAAUCUUUUAUUGUGAUGUUCCGUUAUAUAAUUUGGGUCUAUUUCUUACUACAGCCUAGCCUAUACUGACUAAUACACUAAUUUUUCAGUCUUA